AUCUAUACUACAUAGCUCCAUCCUUACCAUCCCAUCUUAUCCCGGGCAUGGUGAGCCUCACUUUACACGGAUCAAAUAAUACUUCCAUUCUCUGUACAUGAAGACACAAAGGGAGACGAUGCCAACAAGAAAGCGAAAUGUGAUUUUUCUAAAGAGACCAACGAAGACCGCCAGUGACUGUCCGUAUGCAGCCCUCUCCACGUCUGUCUAACCCUUCCAGGCCCAGGAGGGCACAGGUCUGGAUAGCAGAACAAAGCUAGAGACAACUCAGGUGACCUUGACCACCACGGGAGGCGCCCCAGGGCACGAGCUGGAACUAAUCACUCUGGAGAACAAACAGAACUGGACCAGUUUAUGUGCUCGAAGCCCGCUUGAGGAUCGUAGCCUUACAAAUGGAGAAGAUAUGUGGAGAGUCACCGAACAAAUGACUCCCUCUCCUUCCCAAGAGCAACGCGUUUAAGUUUUUAGAUGAACAACUUCACUUUACGAAUAAAAAAUCUGAUUUCCCUCAAUCUUUUGCCAAGCCAUUUACAGCUUCUAAAAAGCUCUUCUAUGCAACAAUGGGCUGACAAAUUUUUUUAGCAGUUUAA